AUUGAACGCUGGCGGCAGGCCUAACACAUGCAAGUCGAGCGGAGCGGCGGACGGGUGAGUAAUGCCUAGGAAUCUGCCUGGUAGUGGGGGAUAACGUCCGGAAACGGGCGCUAAUACCGCAUAAUAUCAGAUGAUCCUAGGUCGGAUUAGCUAGAUGGUGGGGUAAAGGCCUACCAAGGCUCCGAUCCGUAAAUGGUCUGAGAGGAUGAUCAGUCACACUGGAACUGUGACACUGUCCAUACUCCUACGGGAGGCAGCAGUGGGGAAUAUUGGUCCAUGUGCGAAAGCCGGAUCCAGCCAUGCCGCGUGUGUGAAGAAGGUCUUCGGAUUGUAAAGCACUUUAAGUUGGGAGGCGUUACCAACAGAAUAAGCACCGGCUAACUUCGUGCCAGCAGCCGCGGUAAUUC
rnacentral:rRNA from 1 species